UUCCAGAUCAGAUCUCAAAAUUCUCCUCUGAACUUUUCCCCUCUCGUGAGACUCCUCGUCUCCUGCUCGGCUGCUCCCACCAGAUCCACGCUGCUGCAGUCUGAACUGGUGAGAAGCAGGCAAGAGGAAGCACUCAUCUUCUUCUCUCCUCAUCCUUUUUCCUUUCUCUGCUGCAGUCUGCAGUUCGGCUAUCUUCCUGGGCGUGCUCUGUGGCUCAAGGUGAAAAAUGGCGAUGCAGAGAGUAGCGGCUGAGGCAGUGGAGGGCAUAUCAGUACAUGACAUCGCCACAUCCACGAGUGGUGGCGAGACGGAGGGCGGCCGUGGCCUUCCUCGUCGGCUUGCAGCGCGGAGCCGUGGAGGCAGCGGGCAAACUCGACGGCUGUGGCAACACAACAGGAGUGUACUGCACACAUUCAAGACUUGUACUAUACAAUGCAAGUGUAUACGCAUGCAGUAGAUGACCAAGUUCAACUUAGAGCAAAAAUGAUGAUUAUUCAGAUGUUUAUCUCAUCAAUGGAUCUACGGCAAAUAAUUUUACAAAGAAUAGAGAAAUAGAUGCACAUUUUAAUAUUGUAUGUAGAAACGGUACUUACUAUUAAGACUUGUUAUAUGGCUUGAUGUAAAUAACACUUAUUUUGUUUCAUGCGUGCUGAUCUGUGUUAUUUGAGACAAGUGAUUGUUAUAAAUAUAUGUUUUUCUAUA